UGAGUGCAGAGAAAGACAAACUGAUUUGCUAUGUGCUUCCAUGGGCUUUGACCCAAAGAUCCCUUGGCUCAAGGCAGCUGACAGCUUAAUAAUUUCCUCUGGAAAGUAAGUAUCUCAGAAGAUGCCCAUCUCGCCUGGGCUGUCAGUGUGAAAGCCCCAUUGAAAACAAGGGUUAUCUUUUCCUAUGGUGAACCUGGGUUUAUAUAUUCAGUCAAAAGAAGAAAAGAUUGAAAAGAUUUACAAUCAAGUGUAACAAUAAGUGGAGUUCAAUCUUUGUCGUUAUGAAAGGCCAGCAGAGAUUGAUUGGGAACAGCCAGCUCUUUCACAAGGAGUUUGCACUGUGAUUGUAUUUCAGCAAAUAAAGAAUUGCAUGACCUUCCCUUUCCAGGGUGCAAGAGGUUUGGUCGGCUGCCUGAAAGGAACCCAGGGUGCUGAAAGAAAUAGCUUAAAAACAAAGUCAGUAAUUAAAAAGUCUAAAGAUAAGAUUGUAGGUGAAAAAAAAAAACAACCCCAAGAGUGUGGCAUUCCUUGAAGCACAAGCUGAGGUGGAACAGUUAAAAGUCUGUUUCAGGGACACAUAAAACAGUGACAGAAGUUUAAGUGUUUAGCUGUGUCACUGGAUCUGGAGUUCUUGAGUUAAUUAUCAAGAGAAGUUUCAACUUAAUUCAUAUGCUGCAGUUAUCCAGACAAUACUGUUCUUCAGAAAAAGCUACUUUAAAAAAUAUUCAAGUAGUGUUUUGUGAAGCCCCUGGGAAAGUAUUCACACAACUUCACCUGGAAAAUCCCGUCCUUUUCACUGAUGGCAUAUGAUGACAGAGAACAGUCUGUUCUGGAGUAGAUUCUGUGGAAGUCUGGGUAAGUGCAAUCUAUUAGAUAACAUAUUUUGCACAUUACCCAGAUUAUGGUCCGGAUCACUCAUUUGCUUCUGGGCUAUUUUGUUCUGUCUUGUAGGUAUCUUUUUUUUUUCUUUUUCUUUUUCUUUUUUUCUGACGUGCUGGGUAUUGCUGGGCUGGAACAAUGAAUCUCUGGACAACUGGAUUCCAAGUUCAUGUCUGAAAGCCAUCAGACGCCACGGUUGCACAUACAUGCAAUGUCCUCGGGCUGCCAUUGUGCGAUUCUCACAGCUGAGCCCUUUACCACACUUCCCAGCUGCUAGGCCUGUAUCUCUUGUACAUGCAGCACAACAGUCCUUUUUUAGGCCGUGAACUCCCUUGUGAAGUGUAGCUGGAUGACUUGUUUUACAGCCUGAGCACGUGCCAUGCAGCGAUGUUCAGGCUCACGGGAACAGCGCUUGCAGGAUCAAUCCCAGCUGCAGCUUUGACAAGAACCCUUGCUUUCUCAUGUGGGCUAAGAUGACCUUUU
ensembl:lncRNA